UCUCAAUGAGAGAUUCGGAGCUCUGGGCCACCAAGCGCCCACAUCAAGAUCCUUUGUGUCUCAUCAUCGGACAACAUUAACCGCCCAAUAACGCUGCCGCACGCACGCAGAGGGGGCGGAGACUCCCAGACCCCGCCCAACGCCGGUUAAUCGACGGUCCGUCUGAACCGAACUGCAGUGCAGACCCGGAAUGGGGGGCUUGGCCCCGGUCCAGCACGGUCAAAAUUAGCUCUCUGUUGAAAUAAAUGCAGUCAGCCAGUGGAAGCGGCUGAGUUCUUGACGUCCCAGUCCCUGCAGCCUUGUAUGGGGUGACAGAGCCCCGCAAGGCUGCUGCUCGGGUCUGCUUUCGUCCACAAACGCCUUUUCCAGCAGCAACUUUACAGUGAAAGGACGAGAACAAAGGCUUUAUCUGUUCUUUCUUCAGAAAUGACACCAACAGGAGCAAUGGGGGAUCCCCAUAGAGCUAACAGCUGUGUUCCUGAACCUGGUGGAGGGGAGAGGAACUACCCCGAAAGAUCGACAUUCCAUCUGUCUGACGUGGGAUAGAGAACGGCCCUCUGGGGAGAUUGUAUCCUCAUGUAUAUUAUUUUUUAUUUCCUAAAUCAUGUAUAUCCUUAUUUUCUAUGGUUAUGGCGUGCGGUUCAGAUGAAUUAUGACGCUGGGGCUUUUCCCCCAUCUAUGUGAUUAAUAACAUUUUAGAAAAACCUGGGACUCUAAGCCUUGAUGAUAUGCUCUUCGGAGGGGGCGGCAGUAAAGACACACAGCACCUCAAGACAGACUGGAGCUUCACUAAAGACCCACAUGUCUGUGUUUGCAAACUCCACAGGGGCCCUCGGGGGUCCGGGACCCUGGCGGCGGCGGCAGCAGCAGCAUGUCUUCCACUUGUCCACUUCUACUUUGCACGGCUGGACUCUUUCAUACCUCUGUGAAUUCCUGUGAACAAGAAAAAUCCACCAAGAAAUGUUAACAGUGUUCUUAAUUGACUUGCAACUAUGCUGGAAUGUGACAAACACUAGCGGUCGACCAAUGUGUGUUUUUAAAGACCGAUACCAAUGUCAGGGUUCUAUGGAAGCUUGUUUCCUCCACUAAAUAAAAAAAUUAAAUUAAACUUUUUCUCACAACUCAGAAUUGCAAGAUAUAAACUCAAAAUGGCGAGAUAUGUCAGAACUGAGUGAUAUAAGCUCACAAUUACAAGAAAUAAAGUCCGAAUUGUGAAUCAUAAACGUAGAAUUUAGCGUUUUAAAUUUGCAAUAGCAUGUGAAUCUCCCAAUUCUUACUUUAUAACUCGAAAUUGUAAGUUUAUAUCACAAUUCUGAGAAAAGUCAGAAUUGCGAGUUUCAGAAUUUAGUUUAUAUCUCACAAUUUUGACUUUAUGACUCGAAAUUGUGAGUUUAUAUAACGCAAUUGCGAGAAAAAGUCAGAAUUGCGAUAGAAACGUGACUUUUUUUCUCGAAAUUGCGAGUUAUAAUGUCAGAAUUGCAUGAUAAAGUCAAUAUUACCAGAAUUGCGAAAAAAAAUAAACUCGCAAUUUUGAGUUAUAAAGUCAGAAUUGCGAAUUUCAGAAUUGUUUAUAUUUCGCAAUUCUGACUUUAUAACUCAAAAUUGCGAGUUUAUAUCAUGCAAUGCUGAGAAAAAAAAGUCUUGUGAGAAUUGUGAGAUAAAAAGUCGUAAUUACCUUUUUUUUUUUUUUUUUUUUUAAUUCGGUGGCGGAAACAAGCUUCCAUAGGGUUCCCAUAGAAAUAUCAGUGAAUUCUAAAAGUGAUCUGGAAAAUCAUGGAAAUUAGUAAAUUAGUUUUUUGUUGUUGUUGUUGUUGUUGUUUUGAGUAUGUGCUGCUUAUUUAAUUUGUUCCACAACAUGAUUUUUUUUAAAUUGACGAAUGGCACUAAAGUAAUGCAACUUUAUUUACUUAAUUUCUGUGGGAACCCUGCAGUAUCUGUAAUAAAAUUGAAUAAUAGCAAAUGACACUGAAUUGCCAAAUGUAAACUUUUAUGUUUUUUGCAUUUUUAUUCAUUUAUAAUUCUCUAAAAAGUAUUUGAAAUCAAAACUAGCACCGGUCGGUUAUCGGCCAUUUUGACAUUAUCGCCAAAUAUAUCAGUCUAUCACUACUCACAGGAUCAUUUUGAUGUCCCUCCUCAGAUCCAUACAUACGUCUUCAUUACUAAACCACGUCAACGUCAGUCAAUACUCACACCUUACAGUAUUUACUAAGGCUAAGAGUCCCCACUUCUCAUGCAGUUACUAAAAAGCUACAGAGUUCAUCUUUUUUUGUUUCAUUUUUUAGAAUUUGCUUGUUAAUUUUUUGCUUUUUAACUUUUUUUGUUGCUUUGCCAGUAUAUUAAAGUGUAAUCAUGUACGUUGUGAUAUAGAAAUAGCUGUAGAGACGCAUUGUUUCCUUGUGGUAAGUGACUGAGAUGCUGCCACGGAUUUGAGACACUGAUGAAUGGUGCUAUUUUGGACUUUAAUCUGCUCCUUGGUAAGGAAGCUCAGAUGGGUUUUAUUUUAUAUUUUCAUGUUGAGAAGAGGUGUUGGUUCUUUAUUGUCUGGUUGUCGUAUCUCGGAUCGACUUUAUUCCCCCUUGUUGUUUCUGUGUGGCUUUCUCAUUGGACAGAAAAACAGAUUUGCUGAAGAGUUGGUGUUUUGUUUCCUUUCAUUUUUUUUUUUUUUCCUCCUCAGAGAUGAUUAUUUGCAAAAUAAUUCUGAAACUACAGACAGUCGGAGCAAUCACAAAACUGCAAUUAUUAACACUAUAUUUACCCUUUAAUGUAAAGGUUUAAUUCAAGGAGUAGUUACAGUUCCUGGCACUAGUCACUUCAGGCAAUAGCAAACUCAGUCUAGAUCUCAUAAAUAAAGCACAGGGUACCUUACAGAGCGAAUCUCAUGUUUUUGUUGGGCAGUCAAUUCCUUAAAUACAUCAAGGACGCAUUCAAAUCGACGCAGGAUGUUGUAGAGGGUGACGAUCAGCGGUGCAAUGAAUCACUAAACUCGCGGUUCGGAUCAAAUUACGUUUGUUUUUAAUGCAACUUUAAGUAAAUGAAAAGCAAAGCCCAUUUUAAGUACUUCAAUAAUAAUUAAACAUAAUUAAAGACAAAGUAUAUGAAUUUACAAAUAAAGUAAGGUCUAACAGCAGUAUUCAGGUACAGAAAUUGAAUAAUUAAAUGUAAAAUGACACUAUAGUGUUCACUGUAUAAAUUACAUAUAGAUUAAUCUUUGUUAAAGAUGUGUUUUGUUGUUUGUUUAACAUUAAUGACAUAGACAGCAGCAGAUAUUUAUAGGCUGCUGUCACUUUAAGAGCUAAUGAAUGGAUGCUAUAUAGCUAUUUAGCAAUAUAGAAACGUUUACGUUUUUCCCCUCUUCGUGCGCUCGAAUGGUUUAAAAUCGCUCGAAUGUCUAAAUUGUCAAGAAAAAACAUGUGGAAAUGAUAAACUUUCACUCUAUGAUGGUUAAACUUAGCAAUUAAUCCGUGAAUCACAUGCUUGCCGAACCGCGAGGCGUGGUCCGCACGGAUCGACUGCGAUCCGUUGCGCCGCUAGUGACGGUGGUGUAUAUAUUACACACACACACCAGGGCAGCUGAGGUCAGAUUGAUCAUCCGCCGUGUCCUACACCAGCUAGGAACGUCUAAUAAGUACAAAAACACUCAUCCGUUUAGAGCGCGGUGUCCUUGGAUGUGUUUUCUAAGGCAAAAAAAUGUAGCAUCAAAACCAACGUUCUCACUGACAUUUUUAGCAACCGCUCUUGUAAAUGAGUUUUAUGGGUUUUAGGAAAAGAACCAAAAGCUUUAUAUUUAUUCUUCUGGGUGAUUCAUUUAAGUAGCACGGGGUCGUCACUCAGUAUUUGCAGUUUUGUCUUUGCUUCCAGUUCACAUACUUCUAACAAUCCUAAUUCAAAGACCAACUGGAAAGCCCACGUUAGUUUCUUAGUCUUCCAUUUUUCCACUACACUGGGGACCUUCCCAGCUUGCUCUAGUCCUUCCUUAGUGCUUACUGCGUAUCGACCGCAUGCUCUCCGCUCUUCCUUUUGUUUCUGAUCUGAAUAAUUCUCCUCGCAGUUUCUUCUCAUAGAUUAGGUAUAUGCCAACUGUGUUGUAAAUAGCCAGCGAAUAGCUUUGUCGUAUGUUGAAUUAUUCUGUAAUAAUUGUGUAUGAUUGGUGUACAAAACAUGAAGUCGAGCCUCGUCAUCUUUUUAAAAGAUGAACUGGUGUUUCAUGUCAUUUUGCAACUUAAGCUGUAGUUGAAUAAAUAUGCAAGCUCUCACUA